rnacentral:rRNA from 1 species
GACGAACGCUGGCGGCGUGCUUAACACAUGCAAGUCGAACGGAAAGGCCCUGCUUGCAGGGUACUCGAGUGGCGAACGGGUGAGUAACACGUGGGUGAUCUGCCCUGCACUUCGGGAUAAGCCUGGGAAACUCGGUCUAAUACCGGAUAGGAGCCAUUUUUAGUGUGAUGGUUGGAAAGUUUUUUCGGUGUAGGAUGAGCUCGCGGCCUAUCAGCUUGUUGGUGGGGUAAUGGCCUACCAAGGCGGCGACGGGUAGCCGGCCUGAGAGGGUGGACGGCCACAUUGGGACUGAGAUACGGCCCAGACUCCUACGGGAGGCAGCAGUGGGGAAUAUUGCACAAUGGGCGCGAGCCUGAUGCAGCGACGCCGCGUGGGGGAGGACGGCCUUCGGGUUGUAAACGCCUUUCGCUAGGGACGAAGCUUUUUGUGACGGUACCUAGAUAAGAAGCACCGGCUAACUACGUG